CAAUAGCGUAUAUUAAAGCUGUUGCGGCUAAAAAGCUCGUAGUUGGAUUUCUGUCAAGGACAACUGGUCCGCCCUCCGGGUGAGCACAUAGUUUGGUCUUGGCAUCUUGUUCAAAACUGUUACUGCGCUUGGUUGUGUGGUGCAGUUUUGGGCACUUUCACUUUGAGGAAAUUGGAGUGUUUCAAGCAGGCACAUGCCUUUGGACACAGUAGCAUGGAAUAAUUAGAUUGGGCUUUUGCUCCAACUUGUCGGUUCCUGGAGCUGAGGUGAGAAUCAAUGGGGAUUGUUGGGGGCAUCUGAAUUUAGCCGUCAGAGGUGAAAUUCUUGGAUCUGCUAAAGACGGACAACUGCGAAAGCGUUUGCCCAGGAUGUUUUCAUUGA
rnacentral:rRNA from 1 species